AGGAAUCCCGGGCAGGCGGCAGUAGCAGCGGCGGCAGCCGGGACGCGCGGCUCCCCCUGCCUGCGCGGCGGCGGGAGGCGGGUGAGCAUCGAGGAGCAGCCGCCGCCUCAUCCUGCGGCAGCGGCCGGCGCUGCCCGGCGAGCGCAGGUGGCAGUGUAGAAGCCAAGAACAAAAAUUGGCAGAAAUUAUAUUCUGUAUACGAGAGAAUGAAGAGUAUACUCAUGACUAAGCACAGGAACCUGGAAAACCACAGGAUUCCUGGGAAGCCACGGAGGAUGGGGUGAACUCAGAGCUGGAGCAUGAGGAGUUUUUUGGAACUUGUGAAUGGGAAGUUAUCCUGGUAAGAAGUGACCAAGUGCCACCACCACUGUGUUUAUAAAUACAUUUGGCUGUUCUUGUUUUUCUUUAGGUUCUAGGAAGGCUUUCUGUCUAAACCUUUAAAUUGCUUCUGAGAGAACAUGGUGAUCCCACAAAUGUUCACAGAUGACCAAGUCACCUUGUACAAAGUGAGAACACAUUUGCAGGCAGUUUAUUUCACUGACCAUCAUGUUUGCUCAUCACUUACUUAUGUAUGGUGACCCGCUUAGCAUAGCUGGGGUGGAUGAAGUGUGCAGAACUAAGGCAUGUAUGGCCACGUAAUUCUCAUUGUUAUCACUUAUUAAGCAAAACAGCUAAGCAGUUCAUCCAACUUAAAUGUGGCUAUUUACAAAGGCUUUGAAAUUUUUUUUUCUGAUGUAGUACAGGUCAGCAUAUGCUUGUGGCUUUGUCAAACACUGCUGAGUUCAUUAGUUUGUGCCGAUGUGUUGAGAACAGAAAAUGAAAAUGUUACGGGUACAAAAUUUUAAUGUGGUCUCCCAUUACAUCAAGUGUUUGCCAAAAUAUUAAAUAAAACUGUUAACUAAGCAACGUGCUGCUCAAGAGUUCAAUCUACAGACGCUUCUCUGUGCUAAUUAGGAAGUAUUGACAUCAAUGAAUGAAACUACUUGUUAAAGUGCCUUCUACAGUCUGUAGCAGUUAUGUGUUCAUGAGAUGAUUCAUAGCAUUCAGCAAGUUGUGAUGAGUUUCCCUGCCAUUACUGGAGAUUAUGAAGUAUCUACUGUAUUUGCACUCCUUUUUUUUUUAAAUUAAAUUUGAUGGUGGAAAGGGGAAGAAUUUUCUAUCAACUGAAAGAUCAGGCCUAUUUUCUGAAUUCAUUCAUUAUUUUUCUCUUUACUGUAUGGUGCAAUCUAUCAUUAACAAUAAAAUGAAAUGUUUAAUUGUUUUGUCCAUAAAUACAGCAGUGUGUGU
rnacentral:lncRNA from 7 species